CUCUCUGUCUCUCUCUAUAUAUAUUGGCAUUCAUUGACAAUAUGUAUAUAUUGUUAUAUGUUACCUCUAAUUCUCUGUUUCAUAGUUGUGUCCUAGAAAUCUAUACUUUUCCUUUCAUGAUUCAAUAAUUGGGUUUCAAUAAUUAGCCACAAGGACAGUUGAUUCCUUGUGAUUUCUAGCUUUAAAAAUAGUGAAGGAGAAAGUAGGAAUUGUGGCUUGAUGUGUUAACUAUGUAGUGUUGAGUUCUUGUAUCUAAAGUGGUGUGUGUAGUGUGUUUUUGUGAAUUAUGUUUUGGGGUUUUUGAACAAUUAGGUUGUACUUGAGUUGAGUUUCUGAUGAAAUUUUGUACAUAAGCCAAUGGAAGCUGCACAGCCUUUAAGUUUUAAAGGGGAAAAGAAGAACCUCAUUUUGGGUUAUUUUAUUUUUAUUGGUUCCAGAGUUAAUUGAAUGCACAGAAGAUAAUGGUAUUACGGUUCAAUUCUGGUUGAUCAGUUGUUUUAACAAUUUACCCUUUAUCUGGUUUUUCUCCAGUUUGUUGACGAUACAUAUUUUUAACCAUAAGAUGAAAUAAAUUAUAAUAUAGAUAUUGAGAAAGUAAUACCAAAAUUUGUCCGAAGCAUUCUCACAUGAAAUUGUUUUAAUCUAAACUCUAAAGUAAGAAUAGGCAUUUUUUAUCCAAAUAAAACUCUUUUGAGCUUAAUGCAAUAAAUUGCUUUGAAAUAUAACUGUCACAAUAAUGUGGGACCAUAAAAAUUUUUAUUUUUUAUAUUACAGUUAAUUAUGAUAGUAAGCGAGAAAACCAUGGGCACAAUGUUGGUAAUCAAUCCACUAAUCAAGAAGCAAUUACAAUGGUACAAGAGAGAGGACCUAAAACGAAUGCUUACGGUACUAGCUACAACCCAAAAACACCGGUUUGAUCUCCACAUCACAAGUGGCACUAUUCACAAUAUGCCAAAGAUGGAUGGAUGGUGGUAGAAAAACUUUAUUGGUAAACAAACUCAACUCCAAUACGACAUGUGACACCCUUACCAGCUGGGCAUAUAUGAAAGUUAUGUUACAAGAACUCUUCAAAAUAAAUCAAAUAUCCAUAUCGGACACUCGACACUUGGACAAGGGCGUGGGAUAUAUGUUUGAUGCUUUUCAUCGGACACAUAUUUAUAUUUAACACUAUAUGUUAUAUACAAUACCAUUUUAUCUCAUAUAAUAGAUUAAAAAAACUAUACAUAUAUGAUCAUAUUUUGUUGAGUCCACAUAUGCUCAUUUUUUGUUGGGUCCGCAUAUCCUUAAAUUUGAGAUUGAAAAUGCUAGAGACUCACAAUUUAGAUCCCUAAAUUCAUCGACAAGGAAGUGGGGCCCUAUAUUAUUGAGUGUGACCCUAUAUCAUUGAGCGUGACAAAUCAAAAGUUGACACCUAUCAUUUCACAUCAUUGUGCGUCAAAUUACGGGAGCUUUCUUAGGUGUCUCAAACCAUGUUUUUAAAGGUGAAUGCAUAAGUCGAGGUAUUUUAUCUUUCAUGAGGCGAGGCGUAAGCCUAAAGGCAUCGAGACGUAAACAUUUUGAAUUUUAAAUUUUAAUACUUACUAGACAAAUAAAAUAUUUUAAAAUGGUGAAAAAAUAAAUAUAAAGUUGUAAAUACUUUUCUUCGUAAGGCGUCAAACAUUUCACUGCAGAGAAUGAAACUUGCCUUCAUUGAAAGUGAAAUUAACAUUCUUAGCUUUAGUGGUUAAGCUUCUCACUCGAGCAUUAACUUAGUAUUUUUUUUCUUGAUUGGUCAUUUACUUACUUUUUUCUAUAGAAUAUAUAGUCGUAAAAGGGGUUCAUUCUUAGUUUAUGUUUAAACCAUCUAUCUACUAGACUAAGUUUAACAGGUGCCUAAGACAACCUUUUCACAUGCGUACUUCUCAUAUGCUUAUACGCAAAGGCGUACAAAGUGCACCUAAGGCGCAUGGUCAUAUUGUGAUGCGCAAGACUUUGGAGAGUAUAGCCUAAAAAUCAAAGCCUUAAUGUGUUUUACCUUUGCCUCGAGGCGAGGUGAGCAUCAAGGUGAGCCUCAGUAAAGCCUUUUAAAACUUUGGUCUCAAACACUUUCCAUUGAGAUUUGAUGGAUCCGACUUCGAGAUAUGCACCCACACCUUACACUCGUACAUGUGUCAAUGCAACAUAGUAUGAAAGCAAGGGCAACUUAAGAUUCUAAAGCACGAUAAAUAACUAUGGUAUCUCCCAAAGAGAAGAGAAGAACACAGGAGAUAGUUCUGUUCUUUUUAUCUCACACACAAAAUGAAAUUGCACCCCUCUCACUCAUGUCCUUCAACACAUUACAUAUCUACAUUGGAAACGCAUGCCAAACUUUCCUAAUUCCUUGCAAGUCUGUGUGUUCAAGUGAUUAAAAAAUUUGGAACCUAGUUCCCAUUUAGGUUUGCAAACUUAAAAAAAAAAUCCAAAAUUUUGAUUUAUUUGUGCCAAACAUAUUUUCACGAAGGUGAAAUGCAUUGAAAUACUAAUAAAUUGCAAGCAAAAGUCCAUGUUUGGUUUUCAACUUUUGUAAGAGAAUUUUGUAGUUUACUUUGCAUUGUAAAUGUGUUUUGGCACCAGCUAUUGAUGUUUGUUAUUCUAUAUGCAUUUAAUGGUGUAUUUUAUUUACAUUUGUAUUUAUUCCAUAUGCAUUUAUUCUGUAUAUUGAUUUUUGUAUUUUGGGUUCGAUAGUGAUAUAUUACAUGGCUUGUGGUGUUGAUUCCUCAAAAGAUAAGAUUUGUUUGCUUAGCUACCAUCAUUGUUUCAUUGUCAUCAUUAUGAUCACCGAGGAUCUAGUACGAUUGGACUAAGGCAGGUAGGUAUAUGACUAGCCCCUCAACUUCCCACACAGUAACUCACUUGGUUUUGCCUCUUGGUUUUGGGUUGAGAUAACACAUUCUCUUUCUCUCUCUAGACCUAUGACAAUUUGGGACUUUGGUGUUUGGUUGGAGAUGGGUUAAGGGUGUGGAGUAUUGGCAGUGGGAGUGGCAAGGAGCAAAAUUUCAUUUCGUUUGCAUCAAAAUGGCUGAAACAUUUUCAUUUCCUAAGAAAUUGACACGAAACAUUGGUAGAGAAUUUGGUGAAAUAUACCGAAUUCUAGUGUUUUCAUCCAAAUAUACCCAAACACCUAAAUUUACUUAAUCGUUAUGAAACAUUAUGAAACAAUGAGUUGUUUGAACACCUAGUAGGAAUAUCUAAGAAGAGCUAUUUCCCUUUGCAUCCUUUUGUUAAAAGUUGUUUUGAGACAGACAAAAUCUUGAAUUUAUGAGAGAAUUUGUGAUAGUAAAUGGAGAAGAUGAGGGAUAUGGUGGUGAAGAAAACAGACAUGAUAGCAAAGCCCGAAGCCAAUUAACCCUUUAACCUUUUUUGUUUAUGAGUUUUAAAUAUUCAUAGACUUUUAUGGACCUUACUCUUGAGCUUGUUGAAAAAAUAAAAUAAAUCUUAUUUCCCCAAAACUAUGAAGCAUGGGCGGGUAUGGAUACUGGCAGGGGUAUGAUAUGGGUAAUAUUGACCAAAUAACAGAUAUCAGAUCCUAAUUCCGCCCUUGUUCAAGAUAUUAAUGUAAAAAGCAUUUUAGUGAUGUAUGCCUAAAUUAACUUUUUGUAGUUUGCCUAGAACUGUUGACAAAAUAACAGAACAAGAUAUCAGUGUUCCAAAAUUGCAAGUAGUUUCGUGAAAAGAUAUAUUAUCCUAUGUGUUCCCAAACCAACAAAACAUGAAGAAAAUAAGUACAAGAAGUAUUCCAUUAUGAUUAAGGUUGGGGAAUGCAGUUCGUUAUUGCUAAUUACAUUGGAGUUUAACCUUAUAAUCAGUUUGACUAUAAAUCUCAAUCCCUUUCUUUAAAGAUUAAAAAUUGUCACCAAAAAGAUAAAUAAUAAAAAAAAAAGAAAAAGAAAAAAGAAGAACAGAAAAAGUGGUGCAAGGCCGUACUUUAUCUUUCUCAAAGUCAAGGUAAGAUUCAGAUAGGUAGCUACUUAUUUACUUCCAUAUCUCAUAUAUUGUCCCAUGAGAAGGCCAUCUGAAUGGAAGGCCUCCUCUGCUUUCUUCUUUUUUUUUUGGGUCAAAUAAAAUGACUGAAAAUUUUAUUUUUCUUUGGUUUUAAAAAAGAAAAAAGAAAAAAAAGAAAGACCCACUCCAACUCAUUAUUUUGAUUUAAUUAAGGCAUUGCAUUUGAUGUACAAUAAUGAUUCUUGUGAACUUGAUAGAUAUUGAAUUGCAGUAAGCUCAAGCAACCUCCUUUAAUACCUGUCAUCUCUCCAACAUUAGAGUUUUACCUAUGAUGGAAUUCAUCCCUCCUCCCCUCUAUUCAUGUGGAGAGUUUUGGGGCAGAGGUCAUCCGCUGGUCUUGCUGUUAGUUGGGAGCCAGUUACUUUCUGCAUCUACUUCUUUUCUUGGUAUAUUUUUUGGAAUUGUUUAGGAAACCUGAAAGUUUUGCCUACUGUUUCAAUAUGGUGUUCUGGUGGUUCAUGCUAGUGAAACCAUUCUGCUAAUUUUGAUGUUGUUGCUGCUGACCUAUGGCUCUUAUCUGUGUAUGCUGUACAUUGUUCCUCAGACUAAACCAAUUUUCAUAAUCAUUAGACCUUUUUUGUUUUGGGGUCAUUCGAGAAGAUACAGGAAUUAUCAUCAAAUCAAGGAUACAAGACACCCUUGGUCAAGCCCAGUUGAAUCAAAUAUCAGGAAGGAUUGCUCAGGUGCUGAAAGGUCUACAAAGAUAAAACAGUAUGAGAACCUUCACUUAGCAACAUCAGUACCAUAAGUUCAUAACAUUAAAGUUGAAUACAAACUAAAAUAAAAUGAUGCUGUUUGGUAGUGCAACUUAGAAGUUCUGCAAUAGAGACUCAAAAACCUUGCUAAAACACACUUGAAAGUCCAACGUAGACUCAGUGCUCUGUUAAUUAUUAUGUGAAACAUGAUUUGUUUUUCAACAAAUCCAGGGUCUUAUAUAUGAAGUCUUCUCUUUGCUUAAUAGUUAAUACCAUUUAUACAAAUUUGAGAAGAGAACACAUUCAUUAAUGCAUUUUGGCUUGAAUAAAUUGUCUCAUUAUAGUGCAUUAUGACAAUACAGAGACAUCUAUGCAUUGUGGUGUCCAUGUUCUUGCAUUCAUGAAUCUUAGUUUGUGUUUAAUGAGACACAUAUCAUCUACAAUUAGAGCAAGUAACACAAAAUCCAUGCUUUUCGUAUAACUUGCCCCAUUGUCAUUUAGUUUUUGUUUUUUCUUUCCCCUCAAGAACAUGCUGCUAAAGUUUGUGUAUUUUUAUGUGAGGAAACCUAUUUUGAGAAGUACAUGAAAUAAGCCUCAAUUAUUUUUGUUCGCGUAAUUGCACUAAACUGUACUCAACUUGCACCAAAAUUGUGAAUCUAUUCACUGUUUGGAGACAGUUUUUGAAAAAUAAAUAGAAAAAGCAGAAACCUCUUCUGUAAGAGAAGUGAAAGGAAUUAUGGCUAGAGUCACCAAGAAUUCUUCAAUGGUUUUUCCAACAAAGCUGAAAGGUACAUCUCCCGGAGCUCCGGCCCUCGAUCAAGCUUCCGUCCCACAACCCACUUCACUUUCUUGAAUCCAAUGCUAUUAAUCAGCGGUGCAUAAACCUCCUCCAACUGCUCACCCACACAAAAGAAGUGGUCAAGCCAGAACAACCCACCAGGCCUAAGCACCCUGUAGAUAUCAAAAAAUAAGAAGUGUAGCAGCGUUGUUGGAAUCCAGUUACUCAACACAUGCAUUGAGUGCACAAUGUCUAGUGUGUUGUCGAAGAAGGGAAGUCUCUGAGAAAUGCUUAUAUACAAAGCAAAUGUUGCCACACCGCCUCCAAUGUCAAGCCCUAUUCGGAUUGUGCCUGGCUUCUUUACUGCUAAUACUUCGUCAAUGGAAAAGUCAACUCCACCACCAAUUUUUGGUCCAGCCCAGCGUGUUUUCUCUACACCUUCAAGGUCAAAGCAGUCUUUACAAUCGUCGAAGCCCUUCUGGGUCCUCAUACGGUUGAUGAGACAUUGAUAGUUCUUGCAAGUGUAUGCUGUCCAGACCACCGAUGAAUCAGAUGGUGUGGACCAGAAGCUAGCAGGAAGAGGGUAGGGUUCCACGUACUCCUGCUGAGAAGCUGAACGGCAACGGCGGCGAGGCAGUGGUUCACAGCCUUUAAGAAGGAGCUUUUGGGCUAGGAGUUCAUCAUCAGGGCAGGAACCAUUGACCUUGUAUGACAUGUAACGGCGAAGUUCAUUGGGGAAGAGGGUGCAUGGCUGCCCAACUGGGGGGAUAAUUUUUUCAGAAUCAAAGUUAGUGUUGAAUCCAAAUGGAAGCUGUUGAGGAGAUGUAAAGGCUAUGAAUUCGGGUGGGAGGUCUGAAGUAAUUUGAGAAUUGUCGGUUAUUACAACAGUAUCAUCUUUAAGCACCGACUUGGCAACGAUGGCAGCGGUGAUGGUAGUGGCAGCAGUGGGCCAAUGGUUAAGAGAACAAGAAGAAUAGAAAGUGGAGGAAAUGAACAAGGUGAGGAGAUUUGUAGACAAAAGGAGAAAAAGGAAGAACAGAUGGGUGGAGAGAGGCUUAGGCUUAUGAGGUGAAUCCAUAGGUUGUUUUUCGUACUGAUAACUUAAGAGUUGAAGCUGAAAAUGGUUUGUUUGAUAGGAGGUGAGUGGAGGGUUUCCUUGUAUAUGACUAAUACAAAUAUAUCAAAUGAUAUAUAUUGAAAGUCCCUUUGAAUAUGAUUAAUGGGUUCCCAUUUGUAAUCAAGUAACAGUUGUUUUGGAAGUAAAUGAUGAUCAAAGUAUUCAUGGA